AAUGUUGCUUCUGAAUCAUUCACAGAUUGCUCACUUAAUUGGAAAUGUAGAUUAAAAGUGGAGACUUAGAACUAUGAGGAGGCAGAUAGAAAUGCCUCAGAGAUCGUCCUCUCUGGGCUCAUGGUACAAAAGAGGAAAAGUGAGGCCAGCAAGAGUGGGUGACUUGACCAAGAUCAGCCAGGACCUUUCAAUGACAAAGCAUAACAAGUCGUAGGUUUCAUGCGCGUCCAUGUGAAGAGACCACCAAACAGGCUUUGUGUGAGCAACAUGGCUGUUUAUUUCACCUGGGUGCAGGUGGGCUGAGUCCGAAAAGAGAGUCAGCGAAGGGAGAUGGGGGUGGGGCCGUUUUAUAGGAUUUGGGAAGGUAAUGGAAAAUUACAGUCAAAGGGGGUUGUUCUCUGGUGGGCAGGGGAGGUGGGGGGGGGUCACAAGGUGCUCAGUGGGGGAGCUUCUGAGCCAGGAGAAAGAAAUUCACAGGGUUAAUCACUCAGUUAAGGUGGGGCAGGAACAAAUCACAAUGGUGGAAUGUCAUCAGUUAAGGCGGGGCAGGGCCUUUUCACUUCUUUUGUGAUUCUUCAGUUACUUCAGGCCAUCUGGGCAUAUAGGUGCAAGUCACAGGGGACGUGAUGGCUUGGCUUGGGCUCAGAGGCCAGACAUUCCUGCCUUCUUAUAUUAAUAAGAAAAAUAAAACAAAAUAGUGUUGAAGUGUUGGGGCGGCAAAAAUUUUUGGGGGGUGGUAUGGAGAGAGAAUGGGCGAUGUUUCUCAGGGCUGCUUCAAGCGGGAUUAGGGGCGGCGUGGGAACCUAGAGUGGGAGAGAUUAAGCUGAAUGGAAGAUCUUGUGGUAAGGGGUGAUAUUGUGGGGUUGUUAGAAGAAACAUUUGUCGUGUAGAAUGAUUGGUGAUGGCCUGGAUAUGUUUUGUAUGAAUUGAAAAACUAAAUGGAAAAGGUCUAAGAAUUGGGAGGACCUAGGACAUCUGAUUAGAGUGCCUAAGGAGAUUCAGCAUAGUCCUGCCAGCAAAGAUUAUUUAUUUACUUCAAGAGUUAAGAGUGGCAGUUUGGGGAUAGCACAAGGAGAUAUCAGCUGUGAUGGCUUGGAGAAACAGUGUAAACUGGCAGUGUAAACAAGAGCAGGGCAUGUAUGAGUAGUUGAGAACGGAGAAUAGGAGUAUGACUAGACAGAAGAUAGUAGGGAUGACAAGUUUUUUGGGGCACAGUCUAAGUUGGUCUGGUGUCUGGAAUGAGACUGGGGCCUAAUAAAAAGGAGCGUAUAUACAGGAGCUUAAAUGGGCUGUACCUUGUAGGAUUCUGAGGACAGGUCUGACUUCUGAGAAGGGAAAGUGGUAAAAGUAUUGUCCAGUCCUUUUUAAGUUGGUGGCUGAGCUUGGUGAAGUGUGUUUUUAAUAGACCAUUAGUCUGUCACUGAAUACUAAGAGCCUGAAAAAAUGCUUGGCUGAUUUGACUAAUAAAGGCUGGUCUGUUAUCAGACUGUAUAGAGGUGGGAAGGCUAAACUGAGGAAUUAUGUCUGACAGAAGGGAAGAAAUGACUGUGGUGGCCUUCUCAGACCCUGUAGGAAAGGCCUCUACUUAUCUAGUGAAAGUGUCUACUUAGACUAAGAGGUAUUUUAGUUUUUGUGACUCGGGGCAUGUUGAGUAAAGCUAAUUUGCCAGUACUGGGCGGGGGCAAAUCCUCGAGCUUGAUGUGUAGGGAAGGGAGGGGGCCUGAAUAAUCCUUCAGGAGUAGUAGAAUAGCAGAUGGAACACUGAGAAGUUAUUUCCUUGAGGAUAGAUUUCUAUGAUGGAAAGAAAAUGAGAGGUUUUAAGAGGCGGGCUAGUGGCUUGUACUAUAGCAUAGCCUGCCUUUGCUGGUGUGUGGCGAUUAGGCCUGGUGGAACUGCCAUCAAUAAAUCAAGCGUGAUCAGGGUGAGGAACAGGAAAGAAGGAAAUAUGGGGAAAUGGGGUGAAUGUCAGGUGGAUCAGAGAGAUACAGUCAUGGGGGUCAGGUGUGGUAUCAGGAAUAAUGCGGGAGGCCAGAUUGAAGUCCGGGCCAGGAACAAUGGUAAUUGUGGGACUUAACAAAGAGUGAGUACAGCUGAAGGAGCCGGGGAGCAGAAAGUACAUGCGUCAGGUAUGAGGAAGAAAAUAGAUUUUGGAAGUUAUGAGAAAUGUAGAGAGUGAGUUGAGUAUAGUUUGUGAUUUUUAGGGCCUCAAAAAAUAUUAAAGCAGCGGCAGCCGCUCCACGCAGACAUGAGGGCUAGGCUAAAACAGUAAGGUCAAGUUGUUUGGACAGAAAGGCUACAGGGUGCGGUCCUGGCUCUUGUGUAAGAAUUCUGACCGCGCUAACCAUGCCUAGGAAGGAAAGGAGUUGCUUUGUAAGGGAUUGAGGUUUGGGAGAUUAAUCGGACACGAUCAGCAGGGAGAGCACAUGUGUUUUUAUGAGAAUUAUGCUGAGAUAGGUAACAGAUGAGGAUGAAAUUUUGGCUUGAUUGAAGUAAUGGGGGCUGUCUGUGAAGCCUUGCAGCAGUACAGCCCAGGUAAUUUGCUGAGCCUAACUGGUGUCAGGGUCAGUCUAAGUGAAAGCAAAGAGAGGCUGGGAUGAAGGGUGCAAAGGAAUAGUAAAAAAAAGCAUGUUUGAGAUCCAGAACAGAAUAAUGGGUAGUAGAGGGAGGUAUUGAGGAUAGGAGAGUAUAUGGGUUUGGCACCAUGGGGUGGAUAGGCAAAACAAUUUGGUUGAUAAGGCGCAGAUCCUGAACUAACUUGUAAGGCUUGUCUGGUUUUAGACAGGUAAAAUGGGGGAAUUGUAAGGAGAGUUUAUAGGCUUUAAAAGGCCAUGCUAUAGCAGGUGAGUGAUAACAGGCUUUAAUCCUUUUAAAGCAUGCUGUGGGAUGGGAUCCUGACAUUGAGCAGGGUAAGGGUGAUUAGGUUUUAAUGAGAUGGUAAGGGGUGCAUGAUCGGUCGCCAAGGAGGGAGUAGAGGUAUCUUAUACUUGAGGGUUAAGGUGGGGGAAUACAAGAGGAGGACGCAAAGGAGGCUUUGGAUUGGGGAGAAGGGCGGCAAUGAGAUAUAGCUGUAGUCCAGGAAUAGUCAGGGAAGCAGAUAAUUUAGUUAAAGUGUCUCAGCCUAAUAAGGGAACAGGGCAGGUGGGGAUAACUAAAAAGGAAUGCUUAAAAGAGUAUUAUCUAAGUUGGCACCAGAGCUGGGGAGUUUUAAGAGGUUUAGAAGCCUGGCCAUCAAUACCCACAACAGUUAUGGAGGCAAGGGAAACAGGCCAUUGAAAAGAAGGCAGGCACUGAGGACCUCGGGAGCAUAGAGGAGCAACAACCAGCCCAGCCUGGAGGCACCAGCAGGGAAGAGCCUUUCCAGACAAGAGGGCUCCCGAGCUGCGUGAAGUGGAGGAGAAACACUUGACCCUGUGAUGCAACGCUAUGAAAAAUGUCAGUAAUGUCAUUUUACUGACAUGUAGAUAGGUUAAGAACUUGGCUGAAAUCGCACAGCUGAUACCUGAACUCAGGCCUUUUGGACCAUGUUCCUAAUCAAAACACCAAAUCUGAAUCCUUGAAACUGCGAGUAAAAGAAGUUGCAGAGGUUCCAGUGGAGAACUUCAAGGCUCUGAGACCUUAGGGCACAGCCAGGACACCUGAGGAAAGAGUUUGGAAAAGAGACAGUGGUCAGAAAAGAACUGACAGGAUUUUCCAGUGUCUAGAAAUGCACUGCUUGAAGAGCAGCAGAAUAUAUUACACUGGAGAAGAGAAGACUGUAAGGGGCUAGAUGCUUCAUCUGCAAGAAGAGUAGACUUGCCCUGAAGGAAUAAUCAGGCCAGUGAGAAAGAGCAUAUGCACAUAGAUUUGAGCUCAGUAAAGAAUAAACCUGAGCAGUCCCACAAGGGAACAGUACUCCCCAGAGGAUAAGCUGCCAAAUAUGGGCAGUGUUCAAGCAGAGGUGCAAGGAACACCUGCCAGGUAAACAAUGGACACCUGCCCUGAGGAGGCCGUGAGAUAGAUCAUCUCCAAAGACACCAUCAACCUCUAUGAAAAGGAAGGAUGGGCUUAUUAUGACCACUAUUCAGAGAGAAGAAACUCUUAAUGUUUUCCUGUGAUAUUAGUAUUGUUUUCUAGUGCAAAUUCCUAUCAUCAUGCUGCUCUUCAACUGGAACCAAAACAAAAAUUUAACAUUAUAUUAUACUACUAAUAAAAUUAAUGAUUAAGGAAAUCUGCCAUCCUAAACAGAACCUUUUAUGACUUAAAAUUUGCCUUCCUGAAUUGGAGCUAUGCUGUAUUGACAACUUCCAUUGGAACCCUGGCACAUACAGUAGGAAGGCAUAAUAACUAAGAUCCCUAUCAAUACCAGCUUUUAGGGGAGAACUCCAUACUUUAUAGUGUCCUUUGAUAAUCCAUGAUGGACUGUUAUUUCUACAUUUGCCUGUUUUCACAUUUAUUUUUUAUGUUUUGAUUCUACAGAUGGAAAGUUCCACAAAAUUAUCAUCCACUGUGUAAAACAGUACUUCAUUUUAUCUCAACUAAAAUUACUUUCUUAAGUAUGAAAUACAUAACAAUCAUAAUUUUGUAGACAUUUCUAAAUAAGACUUUUUUCUCUAUUUGCAGGCUAAAGAUUGCUAUACCCCUUAUAAUAGUCUCAUCAUGCCAUUUUGGUGGUUCCUUCUGAAACUUUCUUGAAUUCCACUAGAUUUUGGAGAUGUAGCAAGCAAAACUAUGAUAUAUCCUAUACAUUUUUUUGUAUGUUAUAUAUAAACUGUAAGAACCUUCUUGACAGCUCCCAAGAUUUACUCAAUCUUUUUAAUUGCAUAGAGCUACAGACAUUAGGAAACCUACAAUGAUUCUAGAUUCCUUUGCAGGCUCCUACAAUCACACCCUAUCAAAGCUAGAAUGACUUUAGGAGAUUGUGGCCAACAUUCUACUUUUCCACAGAGAAGGAAUGUUUGCCCAAGUGGCAGGGCCUGAAAAUAGAAGCCAGAGAGUUUGACCCAGAGCUGAGGACUAUUUCAAUCAUAUCCCUCUGUAUGCUUCACUAAAGAUGGGGCAGAAGCUACUUUUGACUGCUUUUUUUCUAAUGCAUGACCUUUUAUUUGAGUAUGCUAAAAAUUAAUCUGCCAGUUUUUGCUUACUCACAUGGCAUAAUGGGUGCUUUCAAUAAUUUCUCACUACCACCUUGACAUGAGCAAGUUACUUAAUCUCUCUAACCUUUGUUUCUCUCUCUGUAAAGUGGGAAUGAUAAUACGAACCUACCCUUAAAAAGUGUGUUGUAAGAAAUAAAUGAGAUGACUUGUUUAUCAUGAUCAUAUUCCGGGCACAUAGUGUAAACUCUUUAAAUUGUUUCCAUUACUGAUUAUGCAUAAUUAUUGUAAGAUGACCUCAAACAUU
rnacentral:lncRNA from 1 species